rnacentral:rRNA from 1 species
AGUGAACGCUGGCGGUAGGCCUAACACAUGCAAGUCGAACGGCAGCACAGUAAGAGCUUGCUCUUACGGGUGGCGAGUGGCGGACGGGUGAGGAAUACAUCGGAAUCUACUUUUUCGUGGGGGAUAACGUAGGGAAACUUACGCUAAUACCGCAUACGACCUACGGGUGAAAGCAGGGGAUCUUCGGACCUUGCGCGAUUGAAUGAGCCGAUGUCGGAUUAGCUAGUUGGCGGGGUAAAGGCCCACCAAGGCGACGAUCCGUAGCUGGUCUGAGAGGAUGAUCAGCCCACUGGGAACGGAGAACCGGUCCAACCCCCUACGGGAGGCAGCAGUGGGGAAUUUUGGAAAAUGGGCGCAAGCCUGAUCCAGCCAAACCGGGGGGGGGAAGAAGGCCUUCGGGUUGUAAAGCCCUUUUGUUGGGAAAAAAAAGCAGCAGGUUAAUCCCCCGCUGUUCUGACGGUACCCAAAGAAAAAGCACCGGCUAGCUUCGU